AUUGAACGCUGGCGGCAUGCCUUACACAUGCAAGUCGAACGGCAGCACGGGCGCUUGCUCCUGGUGGCGAGUGGCGAACGGGUGAGUAAUACAUCGGACCGUACCCAGGAGUGGGGGAUAACGUAGCGAAAGUUACGCUAAUACUGCAUAUUCUGUGAGCAGGAAAGAGGGGGAUCGCAAGACCUCUCGCUCUUGGAGCGGCCGAUGUCGGUUUAGCUAGUUGGUGAGGUAAAAGCUCACCAAGGCGACGAACCGUAGCAGGGCUGAGAGGAUGAUCUGCCACACUGGGACUGAGACACGGCCCAGACUCCUACGUGAGGCAGGAGUAGGGAAUUUUUGACAAUGGGGGCAACCCUGAUCCAGCCAUGCCGCGUGAGUGAAGAAGGACUUCGGGUUGUAAAGCUCUUUCGUCGGGGAAGAAAUGGCAACGGCUAAUAUCCGUUGUUGAUGACGGUACCCUCAUAAGAAGCACCGGCUAACUACGUGCCAGCCGCCGCCGUAAAAC
rnacentral:rRNA from 1 species